rnacentral:pre_miRNA from 1 species
CGGAGGAGGCCGGAUCCUGGGCUGUGUCCCGGCGCCCUGUGCUCCCGGUCUGCGCUGUUGGAUUCGCGCUUCCAGCCGCGCAACCCCCU